GACGAACGCUGGCGGCGUGCCUAAUACAUGCAAGUCGAGCGAAGUUUUUCUGGUGCUUGCACUAGAAAAACUUAGCGGCGAACGGGUGAGUAACACGUAAAGAACCUGCCUCAUAGACUGGGACAACUAUUGGAAACGAUAGCUAAUACCGGAUAACAGUAUUUCUCGCAUGAGAGAUAUUUAAAAGUUGGUUAUGCUAACACUAUGAGAUGGCUUUGCGGUGCAUUAGCUAGUUGGUGGGGUAAAGGCCCACCAAGGCGACGAUGCAUAGCCGACCUGAGAGGGUGAUCGGCCACACUGGGACUGAGACACGGCCCAGACUCCUACGGGAGGCAGCAGUAGGGAAUCUUCCGCAAUGGGCGAAAGCCUGACGGAGCAACGCCGCGUGAGUGAAGAAGGAUUUCGGUUCGUAAAGCUCUGUUGUUAGGGAAGAAUGGAUAUGUAGUAACUAUACAUGUAAGUGACGGUACCUAACCAGAAAGCCACGGCUAACUACGUG
rnacentral:rRNA from 1 species